UUCUUCCUGCUCUCAUUUUAUCAACAUUGAAAGAAACGUCUAGAUGAUGAGACCUCAAAAUACAGACUGUUCUUGUGGAGUUUCCACACACAACUCGAGCGGCCAUCAGGCGCAAGUGCAACAAUGAACUCUCAAGAGGAUUUGAGAAGUGAACGAGGGCGUGCUUCAGUGGGUACAUGAUGUCAGACAGUGGGCUACUGAGGGUACAGUAUUUUACAGACAGUCAUCGAAGUAGUUUAUUAUUGCAGUGUGCUAAUCAUGUGAAGAACUGAGAAUCUGUGCCAUGCAUGAGAAUUAACGAAGGACUUGUCUUCCUGUUUUGCUUGCUAUAAACUUGUGGGC